GAUGAACGCUGGCGGCGUGCCUAAUACAUGCAAGUCGAGCGAACAGACGAGGAGCUUGCUCCUCUGACGUUAGCGGCGGACGGGUGAGUAACACGUGGAUAACCUACCUAUAAGACUGGGAUAACUUCGGGAAACCGGAGCUAAUACCGGAUAAUAUAUUGAACCGCAUGGUUCAAUAGUGAAAGACGGUUUUGCUGUCACUUAUAGAUGGAUCCGCGCCGCAUUAGCUAGUUGGUAAGGUAACGGCUUACCAAGGCGACGAUGCGUAGCCGACCUGAGAGGGUGACCGGCCAAACUGGAACUGAGACACGGUCCAGACUCCUACGGGAGGCAGCAGUAGGGAAUCUUCCGCAAUGGGCGAACGCCUGACGGAGCAACGCCGCGUGAGUGAUGAAGGUCUUCGGAUCGUAAAACUCUGUUAUUAGGGAAGAACAAAUGUGUAAGUAAAUAUGCACGUCUUGACGGUACCUAAUCAGAAAGCCACGGCUAACUACGUG
rnacentral:rRNA from 1 species